rnacentral:rRNA from 1 species
AGAGUUUGAUCAUGGCUCAGAUUGAACGCUGGCGGCAGGCCUAACACAUGCAAGUCGAGCGGUAGCACAGAGAGCUUGCUCUCGGGUGACGAGCGGCGGACGGGUGAGUAAUGUCUGGGAAACUGCCUGAUGGAGGGGGAUAACUACUGGAAACGGUAGCUAAUACCGCAUAACGUCGCAAGACCAAAGUGGGGGACCUUCGGGCCUCAUGCCAUCAGAUGUGCCCAGAUGGGAUUAGCUAGUAGGUGGGGUAACGGCUCACCUAGGCGACGAUCCCUAGCUGGUCUGAGAGGAUGACCAGCCACACUGGAACUGAGACACGGUCCAGACUCCUACGGGAGGCAGCAGUGGGGAAUAUUGCACAAUGGGCGCAAGCCUGAUGCAGCCAUGCCGCGUGUGUGAAGAAGGCCUUCGGGUUGUAAAGCACUUUCAGCGGGGAGGAAGGCGAUAAGGUUAAUAACCUUGUCGAUUGACGUUACCCGCAGAAGAAGCACCGGCUAACUCCGUGCCAGCAGCCGCGGUAAUACGGAGGGUGCAAGCGUUAAUCGGAAUUACUGGGCGUAAAGCGCACGCAGGCGGUCUGUCAAGUCGGAUGUGAAAUCCCCGGGCUUAACCUGGGAACUGCAUUCGAAACUGGCAGGCUAGAGUCUUGUAGAGGGGGGUAGAAUUCCAGGUGUAGCGGUGAAAUGCGUAGAGAUCUGGAGGAAUACCGGUGGCGAAGGCGGCCCCCUGGACAAAGACUGACGCUCAGGUGCGAAAGCGUGGGGAGCAAACAGGAUUAGAUACCCUGGUAGUCCACGCCGUAAACGAUGUCGAUUUGGAGGUUGUGCCCUUGAGGCGUGGCUUCCGGAGCUAACGCGUUAAAUCGACCGCCUGGGGAGUACGGCCGCAAGGUUAAAACUCAAAUGAAUUGACGGGGGCCCGCACAAGCGGUGGAGCAUGUGGUUUAAUUCGAUGCAACGCGAAGAACCUUACCUGGUCUUGACAUCCACAGAACUUUCCAGAGAUGCUUUGGUGCCUUCGGGAACUGUGAGACAGGUGCUGCAUGGCUGUCGUCAGCUCGUGUUGUGAAAUGUUGGGUUAAGUCCCGCAACGAGCGCAACCCUUAUCCUUUGUUGCCAGCGGUUAGGCCGGGAACUCAAAGGAGACUGCCAGUGAUAAACUGGAGGAAGGUGGGGAUGACGUCAAGUCAUCAUGGCCCUUACGACCAGGGCUACACACGUGCUACAAUGGCAUAUACAAAGAGAAGCGACCUCGCGAGAGCAAGCGGACCUCAUAAAGUAUGUCGUAGUCCGGAUUGGAGUCUGCAACUCGACUCCAUGAAGUCGGAAUCGCUAGUAAUCGUAGAUCAGAAUGCUACGGUGAAUACGUUCCCGGGCCUUGUACACACCGCCCGUCACACCAUGGGAGUGGGUUGCAAAAGAAGUAGGUAGCUUAACCUUCGGGAGGGCGCUUACCACUUUGUGAUUCAUGACUGGGGUGAAGUCGUAACAAGGUAACCGUAGGGGAACCUGCGGUUGGAUCACCU